rnacentral:rRNA from 1 species
CGGACGGGUGAGUAACGCGUGGAAAACCUGCCGUAUACUGGGGGAUAACACUUAGAAAUAGGUGCUAAUACCGCAUAAGCGCACAGCUUCGCAUGAAGCGGUGUGAAAAACUCUGGUGGUAUACGAUGGUUCCGCGUCUGAUUAGCUAGUUGGUGGGGUAAUGGCCUACCAAGGCAAUGAUCAGUAGCCGGCCUGAGAGGGUGAACGGCCACAUUGGGACUGAGACACGGCCCAAACUCCUACGGGAGGCAGCAG